GUCUCCGAGAAAUAUUAAAGGAGUUCUAUUCUGUCGCCUGUUAAAGCGUGUGUUUUCCUGCAGCGCUUGCAUAUUUCCCGCUUUGAUUGUUCUGUGUUGUGCCUAGGCAUCGCCAGCGGCCUGAAUAUUUGUGGCAGGAGCUCGUCGCUGCGAUUGGAGGGAACAAGCUAAUCUCCGCGCACAACCGGGAAGUGUAAUCCGUUCAAAGUGGCACCUCGCACAGGAGAAGAACAAAAAUUGCCAUUCAUCUUCCAUCAAGGCGCACAGCUAAAGCUGCGUUUCAUCUCAUCAACUGACUCCGAGAAGGUGCCGAAUGCGUCAGCGAAUGUGACAUCUGAUUUGUAGGCUGUCUAAUCACGGGAGAGGGUGAAUGUUUCCUUUCCAGUGAGAGCAGAGGAGAGCCUGCCCUAAAUGAAAGAGAGGUGAAGCCGCUCAGAGAUCACAGGUACAGCGAGCCACUAAUAACGCACCGGGCCUUUUGCGCGUCACGUCUCGGAACGGUGGCGUAAUUAAGUUUCGAAUGCACUAAGGCGUUCCAAUUAUCUAAAUUAGAUUUAAUUAAGCACAAGAGAUAAUUCUCUGUCCUGAUUAGGUUACCAAAAUAUUGAAGCUUCACGUGUAUGAAUCAUGUUCCUAACACACCCGCCCAGCUGCCAGUGAUGAUACAGGUAGAAUAAACAGCUGCAGGAGUCAGAAAGAGGCAAUUAGCUACACUUUUGCUGUGUGUGAAUUAUAGGAAACAACCUCUGAGCUGUAAUAAAAAGGUCCUGCUGAUGCACAUAUGACACUGAAGUCAGCAUUACUCUCCAGUAACUCUCUAAUAGCAGGCAAACAACCGACAUAAAGUGCUGAAGAAACACUUCUUAAAGAAAAGCCAAGGAUCAUUGAAGGCA